rnacentral:tRNA from 1 species
GAGUAGAUGGCUGAAUCGGUUAGGCGAACAGCAACUUAAAGGAUUGUCAAACGACUCUAUGAGGUAAGGCAAGUACGCUGUACACGCAGGUUCGAAUCCUGCUCUACUCA